rnacentral:rRNA from 1 species
GAUGAACGCUAGCGGCAGGCCUAACACAUGCAAGUCGAGGGAGGAGCUUUCGGGCUUCGACCGGCGUACGGGUGCGUAACGCGUAUACAAUCUGCCUUUCACAUAGGGAUAGCCCGAAGAAAUUUGGAUUAAUACCUAAUGGUAUAUAGGAGUGGCAUCACAUUUAUAUUAAAGCUGAGGCGGUGAAAGAUGAGUAUGCGUUCUAUUAGCUAGUUGGAGAGGUAACGGCUCCCCAAGGCGACGAUAGAUAGGGGUUCUGAGAGGGAUAUCCCCCACACUGGUACUGAGAUACGGACCAGACUCCUACGGGAGGCAGCAGUGAGGAAUAUUGGACAAUGGUCGGAAGACUGAUCCAGCCAUGCCGCGUGCAGGAAGACGGCCUUAUGGGUUGUAAACUGCUUUUGCAGGGGAAGGAUAAGGACUACGAGUAGUUUGAUGACGGUACUCUGCGAAUAAGCAUCGGCUAACUCCGUG